rnacentral:rRNA from 1 species
UUAUUAAAACACAUCACCCUGCAAACUCACUGCAACUGAAGCUGAGCAGGUGUGAGCCUGGUCAAUACCUGGAUGGGAGACCUCCUGGGAAAGCUAAGGCUGUUGAUGGA